AGUGAACGCUGGCGGUAGGCCUAACACAUGCAAGUCGAACGGCAGCACAGUAAGAGCUUGCUCUUACGGGUGGCGAGUGGCGGACGGGUGAGGAGUACAUCGGAAUCUACUUUUUCGUGGGGGAUAACGUAGGGAAACUUACGCUAAUACCGCAUACGACCUACGGGUGAAAGCAGGGGAUCUUCGGACCUUACGCGAUUGAAUGAGCCGAUGUCGGAUUAGCUAGUUGGCGGGGUAAAGGCCCACCAAGGCGACGAUCCGUAGCUGGUCUGAGAGGAUGAUCAGCCACACUGGAACUGAGACACGGUCCAGACUCCUACGGGAGGCAGCAGUGGGGAAUAUUGGACAAAGGGCGCAAGCCUGAUCCAGCCAUACCGCGUGGGUGAAGAAGGCCUUCGGGUUGUAAAGCCCUUUUGUUGGGAAAGAAAAGCGGCAGGUUAAUACCCCGCUGUUCUGACGGUACCCAAAGAAUAAGCACCGGCUAACUUCGCG
rnacentral:rRNA from 1 species